rnacentral:misc_RNA from 1 species
UUUCCGUAGGUGAACCUGCGGAAGGAUCAUUAUUGUAUAACCGAGGUGCGAGGGCUGUCGCUGACCCGAAAGGUCGUGCACGCCCGAGUGCCCUCACACACAUCCAUCUCACCCCUAUGUGCACCACCGCGUGGGUCCCCCUUUGGCUUGUUCGGAGGGGGGCUUACGUUGUCACACAAACUUUGUAUGCAGUGUAGAAUGUAUUUUUUGUUUUUGCGAUCACGCAAUCAAUACAACUUUCAACAACGGAUCUCUUGGCUCUC